rnacentral:ncRNA from 1 species
GUUUCAGGGCGAGGUGAAAGUCCUCACCGGCGGUGAUUGAUCCGAUGAUCAUAAGUCCGCGAACCUAUCUAUAGGCCGAACAGGUGUGAAUCCUGUACCGACGGUUAAAGUCCGGAUGAAAGAAA